rnacentral:rRNA from 1 species
UACGAUGGUCCCAAGCGUUGUUCGGAAUCACUGGGCGUAAAGGGAGCGUAGGCGGCGCGGUAAGUCAGAUGUGAAAUCCCGGGGCUCAACCCCGGAACUGCAUCCGAUACUGCCGUGCUUGAGCAAUGGAGAGGUAGCUGGAAUUCUCGGUGUAGCAGUGAAAUGCGUAGAUAUCGAGAGGAACACUCGUGGCGAAAGCGAGCUACUGGACAUUUGCUGACGCUGAGGCUCGAAGGCUAGGGGAGCGAAAGGG